GGCUUGGCUGGCCGGUCCGCCUCACCGCGUGUACUGGUCCGGCCGAGCCUUUCCUUCUGGGGAAUCUCAUGCCCUUUACUGGGUGUGUUGGGGAACCAGGACUUUUACUUUGAAAAAAUUAGAGUGUUCAAAGCAGGCCUUUGCCCGAAUACAUUAGCAUGGCAUAAUAAAAUAGGACGU
rnacentral:rRNA from 1 species